GUCUAUGGCCAUACCACCCUGAACAAGCCGAUCCCGUCUGUUCUUGGAAGCUAAGCAAGGUUGGGCCUGGUUAGUACUUGGAUGGGAGACCACUUAGGAAGACCAGGUGCUGUAGGUG
rnacentral:rRNA from 1 species